UACGGAGGGAGCUAGCGUUAUUCGGAAUUACUGGGCGUAAAGCGCACGUAGGCGGCUACUUAUGUCCGGAUGUGAAAGCCCUUGGCUCAACUGAGGAAGUGCACCGAAACUGAGUAGCUGGAGUACGAAAGAGGGUCGCGGAAUUCCCGGUGUAGAGGUGAAAUUCGUAGAUAUCGGGAGGAACACCAGUGGCGAAGGCGGCGAUCUGGGAAGAUACGUGACGCUGAGGUGCGAAAGCGUGGGGAGCAAACAGG
rnacentral:rRNA from 1 species